GUAAAUGCUAGAAACACAUGUUAGUACUUGGUUAGCAAUGGGCAUUGCAGAUACACACACACACACACACACACACACACACACACACACACACACACACACACACACACGCAGGGGGGUUGUAUUUGACUCUGGCUAUCCUGUAACUCGAGAAUUGCCUGUGCCUCUAGAGUGCUAGGAUUAAAGGUGUGCACCACCAGCACUAACCAGCUAUUUUGGGGGAGGGUAUAGAUUUAAUGAUAGUGGUAUGACUAGGCAAUUGGGGUGGUUCCAAAUUUCAGUUUAAGGAUACAACAAAAUGGAAUCUUUCUGUGAGUGGAGGAGGCAGUUGGUUUUGGGUUAUUGUUUUUGGUUUGGUUUGUUUUUUUUUCUCAAGACAGGGUUUCUCUGAAUAGCCCUGGCUGUCCUGGAACUCACUUUGUAGACCAGGCUGGCCUCGAACUCAGAAAUCCACCUGCCUCUGCCUCCCAAGUGUUCCACCACUGCCCAGUUCAGGAGGCAGUUUUUAUAUGUAGUUCUGGAGCGUGAGCAUGCUAGGUAAGCAAGCAUGAGCCCUUGAGCCCUCUUCCAGCCCUAGAAAAUAAUUAUAUUCAAUUUCAAUGAUUGAUAUUCCCCUUAUAUAUACAUAAUUUAUAAAAAUAAAGCCAGAUAUGAUGGCAUAUACUCUUUAAUCCUAGCACUCAGGCAGAGGAUUUCCAGGACAAUCAGGUAUUAUGCAAAGAAACCCUAUCUCAAAAAAUCAAAAAUU
rnacentral:lncRNA from 1 species